rnacentral:rRNA from 1 species
GAGUUUGAUCCUGGCUCAGAACGAACGCUGGCGGCAGGCUUAACACAUGCAAGUCGAGCGCCCCGCAAGGGGAGCGGCAGACGGGUGAGUAACGCGUGGGAAUCUACCCUUUUCUACGGAAUAACGCAGGGAAACUUGUGCUAAUACCGUAUGAGCCCUUCGGGGGAAAGAUUUAUCGGGAAAGGAUGAGCCCGCGUUGGAUUAGCUAGUUGGUGGGAUAAAGGCCUACCAAGGCGACGAUCCAUAGCUGGUCUGAGAGGAUGAUCAGCCACAUUGGGACUGAGACACGGCCCAAACUCCUACGGGAGGCAGCAGUGGGGAAUAUUGGACAAUGGGCGCAAGCCUGAUCCAGCCAUGCCGCGUGAGUGAUGAAGGCCCUAGGGUUGUAAAGCUCUUUCACCGGUGAAGAUAAUGACGGUAACCGGAGAAGAAGCCCCGGCUAACUUCGUGCCAGCAGCCCGCGGUAAUACGAAGGGGGCUAGCGUUGUUCGGAAUUACUGGGCGUAAAGCGCACGUAGGCGGACAUUUAAGUCAGGGGUGAAAUCCCAGAGCUCAACUCUGGAACUGCUUUGAUACUGGGUGUCUAGAGUAUGGAAGAGGUGAGUGGAAUUCCCAGUGUAGAGGUGAAAUUCGUAGAUAUUCGGAGGAACACCAGUGGCGAAGGCGUUACUGGUCCAUUACUGCC